rnacentral:rRNA from 1 species
AUUGAACGCUGGCGGCAUGCCUUACACAUGCAAGUCGAACGGUAACGGGCCUUCGGGUGCCGGCGAGUGGCGCACGGGUGCGUAAUACAUCGGAACGUGCCCGAUCGUGGGGGAUAACGAGGCGAAAGCUUUGCUAAUACCGCAUACGAUCUACGGAUGAAAGCAGGGGACCGCAAGGCCUUGCGCGGACGGAGCGGCCGAUGGCAGAUUAGGUAGUUGGUGGGAUAAAAGCUUACCAAGCCGACGAUCUGUAGCUGGUCUGAGAGGAUGAUCAGCCACACUGGGACUGAGACACGGCCCAGACUCCUACGGGAGGCAGCAGUGGGGAAUUUUGGACAAUGGGCGCAAGCCUGAUCCAGCCAUGCCGCGUGCAGGAUGAAGGCCUUCGGGUUGUAAACUGCUUUUGUACGGAACGAAAAGCCUUCUUUUAAUACAGGAGGGUCAUGACGGUACCGUAAGAAUAAGCACCGGCUAACUACGUG